CCACCCAUGUCUGGUGAGCUCCAGCCCCAGGCUGUGGUAUCCUGAGCCUGUCACUUAAAGGCCAACCUCUGUCCUGAUGCUGGUGAAAAAGCAGCACCAUGGCACGGUGCUCUGCAGAGAGCUGAGGCUGCUGUUCCAUCCAAGCAGUGAUUUGUAAUCUCAAAAGAUAAAACCUGCCUCAUCUGUCUCCCAGGUUUCACAUCUAGGACAACUUCUGUCAUAAUGUUCAGAAAAUCUAUUGGCAGAAGUCAAAGCUGAAUUCCUGAGAAGGAAAGAAUAUAAAAACAUCAGUGACUUGGAGUGUGUGAAGACCAUGUGGUUACCCCACAAGCAUUGACUAACUUGAAGUUCCAGUGCACUUCUCAUUACAGGUUCUCCAACACUAUUUAAGCAUUAUGGGAUGAAUAUGCACAC